CUCCGGAUGGUGUAGUUGGUUCAUCACGUCGGGCGUACGUUUCCCGUUCCUUAUAUCUCGCAGCAUCCGAUUAACCCAUCAAAUAGUGUAAUUGUUCAGUUAAACCUGAAGGUCGCGUGUUCGAUUCACGCUCUGGAGA